GGAUAGUUGGGCUUUUGGAGAGAUGCUCUGAUGUAGGAGGCAAAUACACCAUUGGAGCCAAGGGUUUGGAAGGGAAAACUCUAAAGUUCAAGGAGAUGAUGGAUGGAGUUGAUCAAGCCAUGGUGAUAGAUAUCUCUUUAUCCUUUGCUCGCCUACUCCUCUUCUUGCUCUGUCUUUGGCUCUAAGAAUAUGGAUAAGAGAGCAAAG
rnacentral:lncRNA from 1 species